GUGCAGUGCAACCAAGUUUGUUCAGGACCUGUUGUUUCACAUAGCAAUAACUAACUGGUCAUGAAUGUUUGAAUGUUGCUGUUAAGAAAUACUUGUGUGAGUUUCUGCUCAUGAGAACUUCAUGUUUGGCUUGCAAGAGGCAUUGCUUGAAAGCAGCGAACAGUCUCACUUGCUUCAGUUUUGCAGCAUGGUAGUCAGAGCUUUGAACUGCUGAGAGUUGAUCUGUGUUCUUCCACUGAGCUUAAAACCUCUUCACUCGUUUCUUGGUGGAGUCCACACAGCCUUUUCCAGAAGACAAUUCUAUUUGCUGAAUUAUGAGCAGUGUAUUUUUUCUAAUAUAUAUGUAUGUUCUAGUAUAUUUAGCUGUAAAUAUGAUAAAACACAACUUGUUUCAAGCUUUUCUUUGUCUGUAUUCUUCUGCAUGACGUUAUUCUUUUUAAAGAUCAGAUUGCAUUUUUCUUCUGUCUGCACUGUAUUUCCUCCUCCCCCCCCCCCCAGUUUGCUGUGCCAACAAAGUACAGCUUGUGAAGGAAAUUAUUACAAUUCAACACUGAACUUGCAUCUUCUUUUAAAUAACAGUAACCGACACUUGCUUUUUUUUUUUUUUUUUGAUUACACGAUUGUGACAUGACUGGUUUCCUGUUUGAUUUACAGCAUUUAAAUAUCAAGACACUGACUGAUGAUGUGCGCAGCAAAUCUCCUUGGUCUAAAAGAUGCUCUGGAGAGCUCAUUGUGCUGGCUCACAGGAAUGGUGCUGCAGUUGGACCACGGGGAAGAAACUCUGCUGGGAAAACCUUGGCAGGAAUCUGGACCUUCCUCUGAGUCAACAAUGUGGGGUGUUCCCGCGUGCCAUUGUGCCCCUGGCUUACAGAGAUUUGAUGUGGUGACUGGUCCUGUGAUGGGUUUGGGAGAAGCCAGGUGAAAGAAGUUUGGGCCUUACCACCCACCUUUUGUGCUCCUUUGUGCAGGAUGGCUUUUUAUCACACAGUCUUGAUACUAAUUUUGAUCCUACUGCUGCAUGCCUCACUUUUCUUCUUGUCAUUCAUACAGAUGAUGGACAUUGAAGAAAACUUCUGAUACGUCCUGUCAGUUGCUCCCUUUUAAGCAAUUUCUUUAAUAUGACUGCAUUCAAAAAAUGUUCAUGAGAAUUUAAGUCCUUAAAGGAACUGAAUGUUGCUCCAGUGAUACCACCUUUGAAAUAAAUGGUCACCUUUACAUUACUUCUAGUAAUAA
rnacentral:lncRNA from 1 species